rnacentral:rRNA from 1 species
UACGUAGGGUGCGAGCGUUGUCCGGAAUUAUUGGGCGUAAAGGGCUCGUAGGCGGUCUGUCGCGUCGGGAGUGAAAACUCAGGGCUUAACCCUGAGCCUGCUUCCGAUACGGGCAGACUAGAGGUAUGCAGGGGAGAACGGAAUUCCUGGUGUAGCGGUGAAAUGCGUAGAUAUCUGGAGGAAUACCGGUGGCGAAGGCGGCAUCCUGGACCGACAUUGACGCUGAGGAGCGAAAGCUAGGGGAGCAAACGGG